rnacentral:rRNA from 1 species
GCGGAGGAAAAGAAACUAACCAGGAUUCCCUCAGUAACUGCGAGUGAACAGGGAUAAGCCCAGCACCGAAGUCUGCGGUCAGUUGGCCGCUAGACAAUGUGGUGUUUAGGUUGUUCCGCGAGUGCACUGCUCCAUCCUAAGUCCAUCACUGAGUACGGUAUAAUGGACAUGGCCCGCAGAGGGUGAAAGGCCCGUGGGGGUGGAGUUCAGGCAGGCCAGUGCGCUCCUGGAUAGACCUUUGAGUCGGGUUGUUUGUGAAUGCAGCCCAAAGUGGGUGGUAAACUCCAUCCAAGGCUAAAUACUGGCACGAGUCCGAUAGCGAACAAGUACCGUGAGGGAAAGUUGAAAAGUACUUUGAAGAGAGAGUAAACAGUGCGUGAAACCAGUCAGAGGUAAGCGGGUGGAGUUGAACUGUAAGCUCUGGGAAUUCAGCUGGUGAGUAUGGGUCAAGCUUGGUUGAAUCGGUUGGGCCCCGGAGUCUGUGUAGCAGCAGGCUGGAAACAGUGCGCGUUGCGCUUGUCAAGCGUUUGUGCGCUUCGGGUGUUCUCCGGACCGACUUGCCGGUGCACUUUCCCAGAGUGAUCACCACGACCGACAUUGCUGUCAGGCCGUUGCGGUCAGACUGGUCAGACAUGGUCCUUGCGGCUCUGUUUGGCCGGGAUGGCUGGUGGCUCAGCGGCUGGCUAUUUGUUUGUCCAAUGAGCAUUAUCAGCUGGCCGUAUCGGUUCUGUGCAGUGUGUCGGAGACGGCGGCUUUUGUGUGUGCGUGCGUGCUUGUUCGGUAGUCGCGUCCGAAUUUGGUUGUUUGGUUGCUUGCCGGCGCAAGCCUGACGAUGGUUCGGACGCGUUCGAUCGGCGGUUGCGUGCGUGACACGUGAGAGGGCCCAUAGUCUGUGGUGUAGUGGUAGACGAUCCACCUGACCCGUCUUGAAACACGGACCAAGGAGAGUAACAUGUGCGCGAGUCAUUGGGUGUGACGAAACCCAAAGGCGCAGUGAAAGUGAAGGUCUGGCUUGUCCAGACUGAGGUGAGAUCCUGUCGUUUCUCAUGCGCGGUACCACCAAGCUUAGAGCGGCAGGCGCAUCACCGGCCCGUCCCAUGACAAUUGUUUUGCGGCAUUACCCAGUCGGGGCGGAGCAUGAGCGUACACGUUGAGACCCGAAAGAUGGUGAACUAUGCUUGCGCAGGUUGAAGCCAGAGGAAACUCUGGUGGAGGACCGCAGCGGUUCUGACGUGCAAAUCGAUCGCCAGACGUGAGUAUAGGGGCGAAAGACUAAUCGAAC